UACGUAGGGUGCGAGCGUUGUCCGGAAUUAUUGGGCGUAAAGAGCUUGUAGGCGGUCUGUCGCGUCUGCUGUGAAAACUCGAGGCUCAACCUCGAGACGUCGGUGGAAACCGUUUGGCUAGAGUCCGGAAGAGGAGAGUGGAAUUCCCGGUGUAGCGGUGAAAUGCGCAGAUAUCGGGAAGAACACCCGUGGCGAAGGCGGCUCUCUGGGACGGUACUGACGCUGAGACGCGAAAGCGUGGGGAGCGAACAGG
rnacentral:rRNA from 1 species